AAAAAAAAAAUUAAAAAAAAAAUUUAAAAAAAAUUGUAACUUUUAUACUAUUCAUAUGAUUUUUAAAAUCUUUUCGGUUUAUUGUACAGAGGAGAGAAUACAAUUUAAAAAAUGUGGUCCGGGAGUUACUUUUUGACACCUUUUAGGAAAUUAAGGCGACUAAAAAUGACUAUUGAAUCUUCAGCUGCCGUGUAUGGCUUGAUCUGUAGGGGAAAAAUUUGAAACUCCCGAUCCUUUCACUCAAUUUUAAAUAAAAACUCAUGUAAAUGUACAUCGGACCUCAUUCUUAUUGUCAGCCAAAUCUUAAGCAGAAUGAACAAUUUAUAAUCAAAAUCCUGAAAUCAAACAGCACGUAUUGAUUGUACGGGGAAUCAAAAUGUACACAGUGCACGGGAUGUAAGCAAACGUAUAACUAUUCAGAUGCAUGUAUAUUUUUUGUAUUUUGUUAAAUCAGAAAAGAUAUGCAUUAUUUCUGAAUGUUGAAACUGUGAAAAUUACAGUCAUCGAUUUUAUACUGAAUAAAUUUACAUGUUACGUGUUUCGUCAUUUCUUCAUUUAUCAAGCAUAAUUAUAUCAAUCCCAUUUAAUUCAAACAGUAGAUUAUCCUUGUAAACGACGUGAAAAAAACUUUUAAAGCAGAAAUACAUGUGCAGAAUGCAUAACUAAUUGUUUAUCGACAUCCUUGCGUUGGUGUAAACUGAACCCGCGAUUUCUACUUUCGGUUUGCUUUCCGAUCGCAGCUUUUGAAACUGACAUGUUCCCCACUGUUCAAUCAAUUACUAACAUUAUUUAGACCUGACCUUUCUAUUUAUGUCCUUACCGUGGCAUUAACACACUCUCACGUCCAUGAAUUAAGUGGUUUUGAUUGCACUCUCUGCAUGGUCAAUGAAAUUCGUACGCGCGAACCCAAAGGUGCGUUCCAAUCCCACCUCAGACAACAUUAUUCAACUUAUUGUCUACCACUCUUAAACGCCAUGCACAUAACGAUUUUUGUAGAAGAUUGUGCAGAAUUUGGUAUCACUAGAUACGACCUCGUUACGAGUAACGAGUAGGUCUUCCGUCCGAUUUUUUUUUAUAGAUAAAAUGAUACCAUGAGAUAUCGAUACAAUUUCAAAAUUACCCCCCCCCCCCCCAAAAAAAAAAAAAAUUUGAAGAUAAAGAAUAAAAACCCUAAUUACGUCAGACAUGGGCCUGACGAUGACUCUUUCAAACCGAUAAUGUAGAGAUCAACAACUUUGAUUUUUAUAAUGCAUAACAAAAUAUUUAUCGUUUUCAAGUUGUUCGUAAUAGAAUUUACGAGUCUCUUGGUCCCUAAUUAAAGGGGCCAGCCCCUUUUUCUUGAUUUUAUUGGAUAGAACUUCUGAUUCUCUACUACUUUUGUUCUAUAUGUCUUGUCAAAAUAUCAACUGAUAAAAAGAUAAUGAUCAAAACAUAUGGAAAUUUUGAUUCGAAAACUGUACCCCAUGUUUGUGCCUAAGCGAGCUCCAAGGAAUAGCGCCACUGGUGCAAAACAACUAAAUAGUGCACAACUUCAAACCAUGCUCUACCUAUCCUGAAAAUUUCAAAGUCAUAUCUCUUAUAGUUUCUGAGAUCAACUCUGCACAAAAUUGGUCGUAAAAAAUUACAAAAUCGACCGUAAAUCCGGACCGGAAGUGACGACGACAAAAAAUUCAAAAACAUAUAAAAUUCAGAUAAUUUCCCAUCAUCUGUGAAAAAAUUGUUCAGAUCGGUUGAGUAGUUUUCGAGAAAUCGCGUGCACAAAAUUUGGAAAAAAAAAAUAAUAAUAAACAGUACGAAAACAAUAAGGUCUUCCGUUGGAAACGGAAGACCUUAAUAAGGUAAAAUAUUGAAAUCACGCGUUCUUCGUUUUUUCGCACAGUUUAAAAGUGAAGCUUUCCAUAUUUCAUCUAUAUAAUGAUUAACGUUAUGCGCAGACCUAGAAAGGGUCUUGGGAAUAAAACUGCCAAAAAUUAAGGGUUUUAGAGGGGGCUAACCCCCCCCCCCCCCC
rnacentral:sRNA from 1 species